rnacentral:rRNA from 1 species
GGGGGGGGGGGGGGGGGGGGGGGGGGGGGGGGGGGGGGGGGGGGGGGGGGGGGGGGCUGGGUGUGGGGGGGGGGGGGGGGCGGGCGGGGGCGGAGUAGGGCGGGAUGUGCGUUGUCGGGGGGGAUAACGUGGGGAGACUGGCGAUAGUCCCGCAUGCGACCUACGGGUGAAAGAAGGGGAUCUUCGGACCUUGGGCCAUUGACGGAGACGAUGUCGACUUAUCUAGCUGGCGGGGUAAAGGCCCCCCAAGGCGACGAACCGUAGCCGGUCUGAGAGGAGGAUCAGCCACACUGGAACUGAGACACGGUCCAGACUCCUACGGGAGGCAGCAGUGGGGAAUAUUGGACAAUGGGCGCAAGCCUGAUCCUGCCAUACCGCGUGGGUGAAGAAGGCCUUCGGGUUGUAAAGCCCUUUUGUUGGGAAAGAAAAGCAGCAGGUUAAUACCCCGCUGUUCUGACGGUACCCAAAGAAUAAGCACCGGCUAACUUCGUG